rnacentral:tRNA from 1 species
CCUUUGCUGGUUUGGUGGCUAGGAUUUUUGGUUUUCAUCCAGACUACCCAGGUUCAAUUCCUAGGUAAGGAA